AUCACGAACCCUACGAGCAAGCUGCCAAAAUGCCACCGGAAUUUCAGUGAAAAUGGUCAUCUUUCCACUUAUACAUCCAUAUGAUGCUAUGGUUCUAAAAUCACUAAUGGCAUGCUAAUUAUCAAGCUCUCUAUAUCAACUCAACACCAGAAACUAUGGAUAGCAUUCACCGUAUCCCACGAAUGGUAUUGUUCAGUGUCGUACAAUUCAACAAAUAGAUCAAUAUAUCGAAUUCAAACUCUUGAACUUGAUCGAACAAGCAAAGCCAUAAGCAUUCACUGAUGAAUCUCGCCACAAAUACAUACCUCAGCUUCAUUAACCCGUUUCCAACAAUCAGGCUCUCCUCCAUCCCAAGCACCAUCAUCUUCCUUCCUCGCUCUUCCCUUCUCUCGUACAUCGCUACCUCUUCCUCUCCCCGCACCACCACUAGAACCACCUAUUUCCCUUUCCCUCUCCAAAUCAUCAUCCCCGCUCGAAAUGCUAAGCAAUUCCACCUCCGACUCCUCAUCCUCAUCCAUGGAAGGC